rnacentral:rRNA from 1 species
GACGAACGCUGGCGGCGUGCCUAACACAUGCAAGUCGAACGGUCCGGCACUCAACCGACCCUCAGUCUAGCUGUAGGUGAAGUUGAGUGCCGGAUAGUGGCGGACGGGUGAGUAACGCGUGGGCAACCAACCCUGUACAGUGGGAUAACACCGGGAAACCGGUGCUAAUACCGCAUGACACCUAGAUGGUGCAUACUGUUUAGGUUAAAGGAUUUAACCGGUACAGGACGGGCCCGCGUCCCAUUAGCUGGUUGGUGAGGUAACGGCUCACCAAGGCGACGAUGGGUAGCCGACCUGAGAGGGUGACCGGCCACACUGGGACUGAGACACGGCCCAGACUCCUACGGGAGGCAGCAGUGGGAAUAUUGCGCAAUGGACGGAAGUCUGACGCAGCGACGCCGCGUGAGCGACGAAGGCCUUCGGGUACGUAAAGCUCUGUUCGUUGGGGACGAAUAAAUGGAACGGUACCCAAGGAGAAACGCCCCGGACUAACUACGUGCCAGCACGCCGACGGUAAACACGAGAGUACU